AUUAUUAUUAUCCAUUAUGUUCUCUUCUACGAGAAGUUUGCAAAACAUUUUUUAAGUUUUUGAGUCAUUAAAAUCAUAAGUAAUCUUUAAAUAUUCGUAGAAAUUAAGUGAGCAGAGAAAGAUAACUGUCGAGGUAACUUCGUACAAAAAAAUUCAAAGUGGAGGAAUUAGUAGCACAAAUGAGAUAAAAGGGAUUAUAUAUAUAUAUUAAAUGAUACACAAGCGUAGGUGACAAACUUUGACGUGCAACCUUACCUUUUUACAUCAUUAUAAUUAUUCUAGUUCCAGUUUUGUUCGUAUUAGUAUUUAGUUUCGUGUGUAUGUAUCGGCUAGCAUGUAUUUUAGUUCACUAUCGCACACUAACAAGUAAGAUAUAUACAUUAGGGAGAACCCCCCCGAAAUAAUACUGUAAUGAUAUAUCACUACUCGAAGGAUCAAACUACAAAAGAAAUUGACAUCUUUAUCUUUCUUGAGUUGAGGUGGAAUCAAAUUGAUUAAAUGAGCAAAGUAAUCUAUACAAGAAAUGAAAUCUUUAUCAGUAUAGAAGUUGGAAUAAACUCUGUAAGUACUUCAGUAGUAAAGAAAAAUGCCUAUUCAGUCCGAUACUAUCCACAAAAUAUACACAAGGCUGAAGCAUGAUCUGAUAAUAUACACAAGGCUGAAGUAUGAUCCGAUACUAUCCACAAAAUAUACACAAGGCUGAAGUAUGAUCCAAUAAUAUACACAAGGCUGAAGCAUGAUCCGAUAAUAUACACAAGGCUGAAGUAUGAUCCGAUACUAUCCACAAAAUAUACACAAGGCUGAAGUAUGAUCCGAUAAUAUACACAAGGCUGAAGUAUGAGCCGAUACUAUCCACAAAAUAUACACAAGGCUGAAGUAUGAUCUGAUACUAUCCACAAAAUAUACACAAGGCUGAAGUAUGAUCCGAUACCAUCCACAAAAUAUACACAAGGCUGAAGUAUGAUCCGAUACCAUCCACAAAAUAUACACAAGGCUGAAGUAUGAUCCGAUACCAUCCACAAAAUAUACACAAGGCUGAAGUAUGAUCCGAUACUAUACACAAAAUAUACACAAGGCUGAAGUAUGAUCCGAUACUAUCCACAAAAUAUACACAAGGCUGAAGUAUGAUCUGAUACUAUACACAAGGCUGAAGUAUGAGCCGAUACCAUCCACAAAAUAUACACAAGGCUGAAGUAUGAUCUGAUACUAUACACAAAAUAUACACAAGGCUGAAGUAUGAUCCGAUACUAUACACAAGGUUGAAGUAUGAUCUGAUACUAUCCACAAAAUAUACACAAGGCUGAAGUAUGAUCUGAUACUAUCCACAUUUUUUGGACUGGAACUUAUUUGGUGCAAUUGUUUACAUUUUACAAACACCAUUCAAGUAUUGUUUUUAAUUUAAUUUGUUUUUCAUUUAAGUCUAUUGGAGUCUAUUAUUGCCACAGUAUAAUAUGGUAGUGAAACUGUCUGCAGGUGAACUAGGGUUCAAACAAUUUAUCUUAUUCAGAUAACCUAUCACUAGUUUAAGGUUUUGUGUUUUCUCCGAAUUGAGCUUUUAUUUUAUCAAAAUUGAUUUUUAAGGUUUGAAUUCUAAUUAACAUACAUGCUAACUAUUAUCAGAUUAACACCUUGUAUAUUCUUUGAAAAAGUUCUAGGUUAGUUUUUUGAUUGUAGACAAAAACUAUGUUCAGAAACCAGAAACAGUAAUAUUCCAAUAAGUAAUUGUGGUAUGUAUUUCAGAAAUAUAGUAUCUUAGAAAACACGUUAAUGUUACAAGUGGUUUUCCUUUGUAAUUUACUGCUGUAAGUAAUGGAAAAGGUGUAUUGAAAAAUCUGAAAUGUUUUCUUAAAUUUUAAAAUGUUAUUGGAAGACAUUCAUGGUCUUGUGAUUUAGAAACUAAUGUUUUACUCUACAGGGGAAUAUCUGGAUUAGUCUCUGUAGUCAGAAAUUGUCAUUUUAAACCUAAAUCUUAAGUUUAGCUGAUGAUAAAGUUUGUACAAUAUGCAUGAAUAUCAAAUAUCCCUUAUGUUUCAAUCGACUCUUGUACUUUUGAAGUCAAAAUUCUAUUUUAUGAGAAUAAUUUCUUUUAGUAUUAGAAAAUUAUUUAUUGGUUAAAAUUUCAGUCAAACAUUAUAAUUGAUGACUGUAUGUAGUAUUAGAAUCCGUACGUUCAACGUUUCUUUGGCUAUUUACUACGAUACGAAGCUUAGGAAUAAUUAGCCUAAUAGCAUAUAUUCAUAGGACAGUCUUAUUGUAGCAGUAACCAACCAACCUUCAGAGUAAUCGGUUUAAAUGUUGUAGUCCUUCCAUCUGUAUGAUGUAUAUUCUUAGGACAAUCUUAUUGUAGCAGUAAUUAGCUAAAUGUUUGGUAUUCUUCCUGUUAUUGUAGGCUGUAACUUCUAUUUUAUGCACUGGUUUGAAAGUAUUUAAAAGUUAAAUCCUUUCACAAAGUUUUUUAAUUGUAAUGCUGUUUUUUUUUUUUUUGUAGUUGUCUUCGUGAUACUAAUUUUGUACAUAAACCUCAGUCCAAGAAGUAUCACUUGGAAAGUUGUGUUGACUUGAAAAAAAUCAAGUUAGAUGAACAUCAUGUGGUAGAAAUUUACUUUAUUUAUUUGAGUUGUCGGUUAAAUGUUACUAAAAUCUAUGAAACUUGAAACGUAAGGGCGUUAAUACAGGAAUACCUUGUCAGUUUUAAUUUCACUUUAAUAUCAAAGUUAGAAAGGCCGUUAGUUUAAAAAAAAAAGGCCUUGAUAUCAGAUUCUCUAUUGGAUAAUAAUUUGACAAGCUUUGUUUAUCAAAUUCACACACCACUUAUCAUCCACACUUCUCUUUUAUAACCAACACAAACAUAGAGUAACAUUUUGGUCUAGGAGCUGUUUCAAAAUCAACCAUAUUUUACAAAUAAUAAUCAUAAAAGAUGAAGGUAAAUUUGGAGUCGGGGGGGGAUUGACAGUGAAGGUUCAUAGCUCUUACCGAGUGACCAUAUUGUAACGUGUGUACAAACUGAGUAGCAAUGCUGAACGAAAAUAGUUCAUUAGAAUUUAUUGUUUUAGUUUUUAAAACUUCUAAUGUAAACCUACUUCGAAAGCCUUUUUCCUUUUUUUUUUUUUUUUUUUUUUUUUUUUAUUUUAUACAUAAUAUUCUUCAUUCCUCUGAACUCUGAUAGUGUCCAAAGGCAAGGUCUCCCUGUUUUUUUUUUUUUCAAGGGUAUUUUUUUAAUUUAAGAAAGGUGAUUGAUCUUGUAAAGCUUGCAACUGUCUGAAUGGAUGUGUUGUGGGCACAAAUUAUCAUCAGUAAUAUAAUAUCAUUGUUAAAGUCUGAGGUAUUGUUGAUUCAUUCACAUAGUAGGUUAUUAGUGUAGAAACAGUAUAUUGUUGACUAGCUGGAUUACAUAUAUUAUUACUACUAGUGUUAUAAAACUAUGGUAAGAAUUUUAAGGUGCUGAAUGGUUCCUGCAGCUCAUGCUAACGUUACUAAUUGUUAGCCCAUGUACUUUUGAUGUUAAGCAAAUCACAGUAGUUUCUAUAGAAUAUCUUCUCAAGGGUGUGCGUGGCAGCUUUUUACUGAUCUCACCACUGUAUAUUCCUUGUUUUGGUUCACAAACUUUGUCCCCAGUUAUACAAACCUGCUAAUUGUAACUCAUGAUUGCACGUGUUUAUAGAGUUUCAACGUUUUGAAGGUCCACUCUCACUCAAGUUUUGCAUUACCUUUAAAACCUGUAGAUAAACCAAUCAUGAUAUUUUAAGAAAGAAAUGAUUAAAUUAUUUAAUUACAAUUUAUUUCAUACUUGUCUUAAAAUACGAUAGAUGGCACUAGUUACCAUAAAUCUUGACGAUUUUCAAAAUAGUGAGGUAUGAACGACUCUUCCCUGUAGUCAGGUUGUAAUGUUGCAACUAUUUAAAGCAGUGGCUAACACGAGUUCCUAGGUCUGUUUUCGUAUGAUCCACGUUGAACUUAAAUAAUCUAUAAAACCCGUUUAAAGUGUGUAUAACUACAUAAAUAUACACGAGAUGAACUUCCUAGAAACAUAACCGGAUCAUUGCAACAGCUAAAACUUGACAAGUUUUUAUGUCAGAAUUUGCUCGUGUUUCAGCAACACGUGUCUUCUAGAGCUCGUGCCAUCCUCGGGCAUGUUGAAAUUGUACUAUAAUACCAUUUAAAGAAGAAUCUUCGUACUAACUAAGUGAUCUUUUCCAGUUAUGUGUUUUUAUGUAUUAAGGAAAGAAACUAGCAGGUUUUCUUUUUUGCAUCUCGGAUGAUUUGGUUUAUUGAUGAUUCGAGUAGAACGUUUUCCUUAUAUAUAUAUAUAUAUAUAUAUAAGCUUUGUUCAUGUUACCUUAACUUACUUUUAAAGGUAAUCAUAUUUUAUUUUGUGAAAAGCGUUGAACUUGUAGUUUUAAGCGGUUCUUAUCACAAGAAAAAAGCAAGACCCUUGUGUAGUCACUCCUGUUUUACUGAGCGCUUCUGUUAUUUGUUCUUCACGUUCUGAAACAUGGUAAUACCAUGUAAAAUAUUAUAUUAGCCCGUGACCUAUACAAACUAACCACAAAACUUUAAUAACGCUAUAACUUGGGGUUCGAUCCCUGUGGUGGGCACAGCGGAGAAAGCCAGCCGCGCAUCAAAUAAAACGAGCAUUUUUGUGUGGUAGUUGUCCUUCGUGUCUGUAUAAUAUUGAAGUUCAAAGUUCUGAACUGAAUGAAUAAUGGAGAAGCGAUUUGUGUGAACAACGAUAUUAUUAGACGUGUAAAUAGAAAAACCAAUAUCUAAUUACAGUCUGUGAUAUACGGUAUCACGAUCAUUGGUCUUAAGAACUUUGUUUUCGUUUAUAUUUAGUUUGUUUGUUUGUUUUUUUCUUGGUUUCUGUUGAUGGUGAUAAAUAAUAUUGAUUGCAUUUUCAUUGUUGUAUUUCGUGUUUGUUUGUUUCAGAAACCAGUAACUUAAAAAAAAAUUCCCGCAACACUUCGCUGAAAACUACAAUUAUUAGCGAAAACUGUUAUAUAUAUUAUUACGUGCAAACAAUAGUUUUGUGGUUUAGCUUGUAUAUUAGUCUGUUAUAACGCAUGCGUCAGACGCUAUGCUGUUGUUUGUUUUAUCACUGGUGUUUUUAUGCUUCAAAUGUAAUGUUUGAGUAGCAGUUAAAAAAGCGUUUUGGUUCUUAGAAUUUUGGUUUCAAUGUUGCCAUUUUUUUUUAUAAUGUUUCAAAUGUUAUAUUUACGUAAAAAGGUUUAGCACAAGUCGGAUUGGAGAACGCUUAUAAUUUGUGAUUUGAAAAUUGUAUUGAUUUAACUUAAUGUCUUAUCGAUUGUAUUUUAAAACAAAUGUGACCAUAAUUUCCAAGAAACUAGCCAAAAAAAAAAAAGAGCCUUUUUUUUUUAAAUCCUAAUGCACGGUAAUAAAGGUUAUAUGUAGCACAAAUUCAGAUAUUUCUGUUGAGGACAAUUGUAUGUAGAACUCUUGGGAUGAAAGUGUUUCCAUUCGACGAGUAAAAUUCCUUUCAUUUGACGAAAAUCUCGUUUAGCCAUGUGUAGAAGGCCAUAUUCACUGAGCAUGUUACUUGAAUUGUUUAUCUUGCUUGUUGUCGAUUUUUUUAAUUUAUUUUUUUUUCUAAUCUGGAUUGCUGACUUCCCACGCUUUGUAAAGAAAAUAGAUAAUAAAGCUUGUGCUUUAUCA